GAUAAUCCUGCAGGGCCCCUCAGCAGAAUAUCUGGUGAGCAAAUUCCAGAGGAUCCACACGUGUCUUCUGAAGAAAUGGAAAUAGAUAUCACUAUUAUGAGCCAUGAGGAUCUCUUGAAGACUACAGAGUUCCUGAAGGAUAGGCUGGUUUCAGAGAGGCAAGACAAACUUCUUCUUGAGGUGCAAAUACGCAAAGAGAUGGCCGAAGCAAUGUUUCAGCAGCUGAUGGAAACAGAAGACACCUGGAGAUACUGGAUUCAAUGAAAUGCAGAAAACCUCAGAAGUUUCCCAGAAACAGUGUGAAAAUAAAGAUCAGGUAUUUUUAAA
rnacentral:lncRNA from 1 species